AUGUUCCCGAGAGUUCCCUUGAACACUUCAUGAGGGCUUAAUUACUUCAUUUCUGAAGUCCUGCUAAAGUGUUUGGGGAAACUCCUGGGAUCAC
rnacentral:pre_miRNA from 1 species